rnacentral:rRNA from 1 species
GAUGAACGCUGGCGGCGUGCCUAAUACAUGCAAGUCGAGCGAACGGUCCAGAAGCUUGCUCCUCUGAUUUUAUCGGCGGUCGGGUGAGUAACUCGUGGAUAACCUACCUAUAAGACUGGGAUAACUUCGGGAAACCGUAUCUAAUACCGGAUAAUAUUUUGAACCUCAUUGUUCAAAAGUUAAAGACGCUCUUUCUUUCACUUAUAGAUUGCUCCGCCCUGAAUUAGUUAGUUGGUUAGGUAACGGCUUACCAAGGCAACGAUGCAUACCCGACCUGAGAGGGUGAUCGGACACACGGGAACUGAGAAAGGGUACAGACACCGACGGGAGGAAGCAGUAGGGAAUCUUACGGGAGGGGCGAAAGGCUGACGGAGCAAAGCCGCGUGAGGGAUGAAGGUCUAAGGAUCGUAAAACUAUGUUAUUAGGAAAGAACAAAAGUGUAAGUAACUGUGAAGAUAAUGACGGUACCGAAUCAGAAAGCCACGGCUAACUACGUG